GGGCAACUAGCUCAGUUGGUUAGAGCGCUUCGUUCACAUCGAAGAGGUCAGAGGUUCGAGUCCUCUGUUGCCCACCA
rnacentral:tRNA from 2 species